rnacentral:rRNA from 1 species
CCUACGGGGGGCAGCAGUGAGGAAUAUUGGUCAAUGGGCGCGAGCCUGAACCAGCCAAGUCGCGUGAGGGAAGACGGUCCUAUGGAUUGUAAACCUCUUUUGUCGGGGAGCAAAAGACGCCACGCGUGGCGUUCCGAGAGUACCCGAAGAAAAAGCAUCGGCUAACUCCGUGCCAGCAGCCGCGGUAAUACGGAGGAUGCGAGCGUUAUCCGGAUUUAUUGGGUUUAAAGGGUGCGCAGGCGGAAGAUCAAGUCAGCGGGAAAAUUGAGAGGCUCAACCUCUUCGAGCCGUUGAAACUGGUUUUCUUGAGUGAGUGAGAGGUAUGCGGAAUGCGUGGUGUAGCGGUGAAGUGCAUAGAUAUCACGCAGAACUCCGAUUGCGAAGGCAGCAUACCGGCGCUCAACUGACGCUCAUGCACGAAAGUGUGGGUAUCGAACAGGAUUAGAUACCCCAGUAGUC